AGCUAACGCGUUAAGUCGACCGCCUGGGGAGUACGGCCGCAAGNUUAAAACUCAAAUGAAUUGACGGGGGCCCGCACAAGCGGNGGAGCAUGUGGUUUAAUUCGAUGCAACGCGAAGAACCUUACCUGGCCUUGACAUCCAGAGAACUUAGCAGAGAUGCUUUGGUGCCUUCGGGAACUCUGAGACAGGUGCUGCAUGGCUGUCGUCAGCUCGUGUUGUGAAAUGUUGGGUUAAGUCCCGCAACGAGCGCAACCCUUAUCCUUUGUUGCCAGCGGUUCGGCCGGGAACUCAAAGGAGACUGCCGGUGAUAAACCGGAGGAAGGUGGGGAUGACGUCAAGUCAUCAUGGCCCUUACGGCCAGGGCUACACACGUGCUACAAUGGCGCAUACAAAGAGAAGCGACCUCGCGAGANCAAGCGGACCUCAUAAAGUGCGUCGUAGUCCGGAUUGGAGUCUGCAACUCGACUCCAUGAAGUCGGAAUCGCUAGUAAUCGUAGAUCAGAAUGCUACGGUGAAUACGUUCCCGGGCCUUGUACACACCGCCCGUCACACCAUGGGAGUGGGUUGCAAAAGAAGUAGGUAGCUUAACCUUCGGGAGGGCGCUUACCACUUUGUGAUUCAUGACUGGGGUGAAGUC
rnacentral:rRNA from 1 species